CACACCGCCCGUCACACCACGAAAGCUGUUUGUACCCGAAAUCACCUUAGCUAACUCGUAAGAGAGGCGGGUGCUGAAGGUAUGGAGAGUGAUUGGGGUG
rnacentral:rRNA from 1 species